ensembl:lncRNA
AUAAACCUCUGCUCUGUAUGCAAGGCCCUACAACAGAAAUGGGUUACUGAACAAAUGAAUCAAACCCUGGUAUGAGCUGGUUCCAGAGAGGAAAUCGACCAGGAACGGCUUUCACAGUUUUACUGCACCCUCUUGCAUCAGACUUUGGGUUAGUGGACUUCCCUGUUUAUCUGACCACAGUGAUAGCGUCAGAUACCCAUUUGUACCCCACAGCCUUCCAUCAAUCAGGCUUUGGAUAACCACUGUUUACUGUUUAUCUGGUCACAAUGUUAGUUAGUCAGUGUUCCUUGUGUUAAUCAUUACCUCCGAACCUGAUUACUCACACAAGCACACGUUUGUUUUAAUGUCCUUGUCGGUCUAAACAAUUGUUUCCCAUUUAAAAUAUCAGUUUCCCUAAGCCUUACCCCUAAUUCUAACCCUAAGCAUUAAAUUGCCUUUUCCCUUGUGGGGACCUGUGAAAUGUCCCCAUUUUGUAUAGAUGUUCCUUGUUUUACUAUCAUUGUCAGGACGUCUGGUCCCUACAAGGAUAGUAAAACCAAAAAAACACACACUUGAGUCUAUGUCCCAAUACUUAAACUUCUCAGAACAUGCAGCCAGGUGACCUGAUAUGAGGGACUAGAACAUACAGCCAGGUGAUAUGAGGGACUAGAACAUACAGCCAGGUGAUAUGAGGGACUAGAACAUACAGCCAGGUGAUAUGAGGGACUAGAACAUACAGCCAGGUGAUAUGAGGAGGGACUAGAACAUAACAGCCAGGUGAUAUGAGGAGGGACUAGAACAUAACAGCCAGGUGAUAUGAGGAGGGACUAGAACAUAACAGCCAGGUGACAUGAGGAGGGACUAGAACAUAACAGCCAGGUGACAUGAGGAGGGACUAGAACAUAACAGCCAGGUGACAUGAGGAGGGACUAGAACAUAACAGCCAGGUGGCAUGAGGAGGGACUAGAACAUAACAGCCAGGUGACGUGAUAUGAGGAGGGACUAGAACAUAACAGCCAGGUGACGUGAUAUGAGGAGGGACUAGAGCUAAAGAAAGGAAACAAUUGUAUGAGUGUAACCGAUUUGUACCAGUCAGGCCCUCCAUUCUCUGUAAGCAGUUUUGUGAGAGGUUUUAUUUCAAUAGUUUAGUCCUGGAAAAACAAGGAGAGAUGAGGUUAGAAAUAGCUGCUGGGACUGUUAAAGACCUCCCUGUUGUAUUCAGGUAAUGUUUACCUUCAU